CAGCGCCACGAGUGGCAACCAUAUUUAUUUGGCCUAAAGCGUCCGUAGCUGGUUCAGUAAAUCUCUUGUGAAAUCGUUGGGCUCAACUCAACGGCGUGCAGGAGAGACUGCUAAACUAGGGACCGGGAGGAGUCAGAGGUAUGCUGGGGGGAGCGGUAAAAUGCUAUAAUCCUCGGUAGACCACCUGUGGCGAAGGCGUCUGACUAGAACGGGUCCGACAGUGAGGGACGAAAGCCAGGGGAGCAAACCGGAUUAGAUACCCGAGUAGUCC
rnacentral:rRNA from 1 species